rnacentral:rRNA from 1 species
GACGAACCGUGCAAACGUUGUUCGGAAUCACUGGGCUUAAAGGGCGCGUAGGCGGGCAAGCAAGUCGAAGGUGAAAUCCCACGGCUCAACCGUGGAAGUGCCCCCGAUACUGCUUGUCUUGAGGGAGAUAGGGGCGUGCGGAACUUCCGGUGGAGCGGUGAAAUGCGUAGAUAUCGGAAGGAACACCGGUGGCGAAAGCGGCGCGCUGGAACAUUUCUGACGCUGAGGCUCGAAAGCGUGGGGAGCAAACAGG